GGUUGGUCCCAAUGCAGUGGUGUUUACAACUAAUUGAUCACUACCAGUUACAGAUUCUUUUGUUCCUUCUCCACUCCCACUGCUUCAUUUGACCAGCCUUUA
ensembl:misc_RNA Y_RNA Y RNA